GAACAACUAAAAGAAAAAAAAUUGUUAUUGAGCAUAGCUUGACAGAAGGCUACCAUGUACAUGUAUCUCAUACAACCCAUCUAUAAAAUGCGUGUAAAAAGCAAAUGAACAAUGUCAACAAGAAAAUUCACUCAAGCAACAUAAAGGAGGCCAAUUAAAAUCCCAGAACAUAAAAAUUAAUUAAGAAAACAAAUUUUCGAUAGAAUAUCAACUGCAUCAAUGUUGCUGUUUGACACAGACAAGUGGGUAGACAGUGUAUUUUUUGAAACCAAUUAAUUGUAACAACAAAAUGAUAAUAGAGCUCCAAUACCAUGCUUCAUCAUGUCUACAAAGCGAUGGAAUAACUAGCAAAAUAAUAGUCAAAUUGCUAUUUGGUGAU
rnacentral:misc_RNA from 1 species